rnacentral:sRNA from 2 species
GUGCAGGGUGUCUAGGGUUCCGUUCGCAACAUCGCGAAGCAGGUCCGAGAGAUGCCGCCGGCGCCGGAUACGGUGUCGGUACACGGCGGGACAAAAUCCCGGGAGAG